AGCUCCAAUAGCGUAUAUUAAAGUUGCUGCAGUUAAAAAGCUCGUAGUUGCAUUUCCGAGGCAAGGGAUUAGUCCGACCUUUGGUGGGUAUUUAAUCCUCUUGCCUCGUCCUUGAGUGGUGCUUCUUGGUAUUAAGUUAUCGAGGAGAUAGCCGCUCAUCGUUUACUGUGAGAAAAUUAGAGUGUUCAAAGCAGGCUUAUGCCGUUGAAUAUAUUAGCAUGGAAUAAUAAGAUAGGACCUCGGUACUAUUUUGUUGGUUUGAGAACCGAGGUAAUGAUGAAUAGGGACAGUUGGGGGUAUUCGUAUUCAGUUGUCAGAGGUGAAAUUCUUAGAUUUACUGAAGACGAACUACUGCGAAAGCAUUUACCAAGGAUGUUUUCA
rnacentral:rRNA from 1 species